GCGGAAGUAGUUCAGUGGUAGAACGCCAGCUUGCCAUGCUGGAGGUCGCGGGUUCGAAUCCCGUCUUCCGCU
rfam:Lactobacillus sanfranciscensis TMW 1.1304, complete genome.